UACGUAGGGUGCAAGCGUUGUCCGGAAUUAUUGGGCGUAAAGAGCUCGUAGGCGGUCUGUCGCGUCGGAUGUGAAAAUCCAGGGCUCAACCCUGGACCUGCAUUCGAUACGGGCAGACUAGAGUUCGGUAGGGGAGACUGGAAUUCCUGGUGUAGCGGUGAAAUGCGCAGAUAUCAGGAGGAACACCGGUGGCGAAGGCGGGUCACUGGACCGGAACUGACGCUGAUGCGCGAAAGCGUGGGGAGCAAACGGG
rnacentral:rRNA from 1 species